AACCUCUACAAUGCACGCAAGUGUGAUAGGGUAACCCCUCGUGCUUAUCGAAAGGUAGGCUUUUGUAAUGUGUAGUGAGCAUUACGAAUAAGUGGUGGGCAAGACUGGUGCCAGCAGCCGCGGUAAUACCAGCGCCACAAGUGGAGAUCGCUUUUACUGGGUCUAAAGUGUUCGUAGCUGGUUUGUUAAGUCUCUUGUGAAAUUCCUUUAGCUUAACUAAGAAAUUGCAAGAGAUACUGACAAACUUGGAACCGGGAGGGAUAAGAAGUAUUGUUUGGGUAGCGGUAAAAUGUUAUAAUCCUUACAGGACUAACUAAGGCGAAGGCAUCUUAUUUGAACGGAUUUGACAGUGAGGAACGAGAGCUGGGGUAGCGAACCGGAUUAGAUACCCGGGUAGUCCUAGCCGUAAACUCUGCGGGUUACGCUUUGUCAAAUCUAUGGGAUUUGACAGAGGGGUAGUGAAGGCGUUAAACCCGCCACCUGGGAAGUACAGCCGCAAGGCCGAAACUUAA
rnacentral:rRNA from 1 species